GCUGGGCUUGGUAGUGCAAGCCUGUAACCUGAGUGGGAGCAUUAUGAUGGUGGAACAAUUGGGCCUUCCUUGAAGGUUGGGUUUGGGUUGCUAUCUACACGCAUGUCUAUUCCAAGUGGUGAGUUGGGUGGUGGAGUCUUUGCGAAGGCAGAGGCUUGUUAGCCCUUAGAUCGGAGGGUACUGCGUGAGGUUGGCUUCACAGAGCAGCGAAAACCUCCUCCUCUCUGCAGUGGAAGGAUAACAUGCUGGGGCAUCCUAAGCCCACUAAUGCCUGAUGGGCUGUCCAUAUUGAACCACCAUCUUU
rnacentral:SRP_RNA from 1 species